AGUUGUGUAGUAUACGCAAAAGAACACUCUAUACAAUCUGCCAUGAGCAAAAGAGCAAUGAGAACCACGUGCUCCAAUUAAAAGAGGGAAGAACAAAGGGGAAGGUAGAACCAUCCAGAAGUGAUGCUAACGGUAAGACGAAAUCCAAGAACUUCGAGCGUAACCAAAGCUAUAGCUAUGACACUAUCAGGUGGUUUAGUUACUUGCUUUAUGUUGUGGUG
rnacentral:lncRNA from 1 species